GCGCCACUAGUUUAGUGGUAGAAUAUAUCGUUGCCAACGAUGUGACCGGGGUUCGAUUCCCCGGUGGCGCA
rnacentral:tRNA from 1 species